rnacentral:rRNA from 1 species
UACGUAGGGUGCAAGCGUUGUCCGGAAUUAUUGGGCGUAAAGCGCACGUAGGCGGCUUUGUAAGUUAGAGGUGAAAGCCCGGGGCUCAACUCCGGAACUGCCUUUAAGACUGCAUCGCUUGAAUCCGGGAGAGGUGAGUGGAAUUCCGAGUGUAGAGGUGAAAUUCGUAGAUAUUCGGAAGAACACCAGUGGCGAAGGCGGCUCACUGGACCGGUAUUGACGCUGAGGUGCGAAAGCGUGGGGAGCAAACAGG